rnacentral:lncRNA from 1 species
AUGUGCUGUCCAGUGAUGAAUGGGGCACGUUAACCUUCUGCUCUUCACACUCGGUCCACACCUGGCUGGGACCUCAGCCCCUGCACCACUGCGCAGUAGCUCCUGAGCUCAGUGGACCCACAACCCUGUUCUGGAAUUGGAAACCAUGCUGUGGGGAGGGAAUGUCGUGGAAAGUCUCAGCUGGAAGAUGCAAGGAUUUGAAAAUCUUUUCUGUAGUCUGAAGUUUUCCUUUCAGGAUCCGAAAUCUGUGAGCAGCAGAUGAUCCUGACGACAGUGGAGAGGAAUACUUGGGAAAGUUUACUUAAAGGAGGACAGGUUAGAAAAACAAUCUCUCUCUUCACUGCUUGAAUCAGUCAGCAUGACGCUGACGACGACACAGUUGGAAGAGAAUGCAGCAGGCUCCUUGGUCCUGAGGCAAAGCAGCCCACACAGUCAGUUAAUGUGAGGAGACUGGUCUGUGCUUGGAGGCAGUGUGGCAGGGUUUGUGAGGUGGGGGCCCUGGAUGCAAGUCAGACGAUCUAAUCAAAGCAAUCCUUUUGGUUUCCAGUUCUGUCAAGGGAAUAAAGGGGGUAGGGAGAGUGCCUGCUAAGUUUGAAAGAGGUGCUGCAGGACUGGGCUCGUCUCCAGGAUACAGGGCACUCUUGAGUGUCCCUCUCUGGGAGCGUGUUAUUGAGCCGUUAAGCGAUGAAAAACUUCUCUUGGUGAGGAAGGUGCUCUCUCUCUCUCUCUGCAAGCGUCUCCAGCACCAAGGGGCACUGAUAGAUGGGCUCAGUGCAGUCAAGGGACAGCGAAUUUUCGGAGGCGGGAGUGAAGUGGCUGAGAAGCUGUGGAAGCCUGUGUCCAGGGGGCCUGGAAGAGGAUUUCCAUGGAGCUCAUGGUUUUGUGGUCCCCUGGGCAGACUUGGCCAAUCACUCUGAAGUUUUCUCCAGCUGCUGUGACACAGGCUUGCUUUCUUAUUGGCUGCUGUAGCAGCUCUGACGUUGCAUUCGCUGGUGAGGCUGAGCUGAGUCAGAGAAUGUCCAGAAACGUACAGCCAGGCGAUUUCAAAUGUCUCUGCUCCAUCACCCAGGGUGCAGGCUAGCCUCACCCCAUGUGGAUUCUGCCCAGCACUGGAACUACCUCCAGAGAAUGCACUGGACAUAGAAGGAACUCAUCUCAUUCGCAGCAUGUCCUGGGCUCCAGAGUCCCCAGCAUACUGCUGGCAUGGUUACUGCUUCGUUGUGCUGCCCAGCCCUGGGGACUGGGGACACCUGGCUGAGCUCAGUUCCCAGCUACAGAAGGAUGUAAUGUCCUAUCUAAGCUGCUGAUCUUCGUGAUCCUCACAUGGAUUCCCCUCCCCUCCCUCUGCUCCAGUGCAGGGACCAAACCACAGGGAAGCAGGGGAGGGGGAAGGGGUACUUUGGCCCAAGCAGCACACACAAGCCAAACAAGCAAUUGUCGGGGAAAGUCAAUGUUUCUUGUGCCAGUGGCAUGUCUGUUUACAAACGGCUCAGCCCUGAUUUUAAACAAAAUGGAAAAGUAAUAAUAAAAUAACCUUGGCGAAGAGCUUUAGCUGAACA